rnacentral:rRNA from 1 species
AAGUAAAAGUCGUAACAAGGUUUCCGUAGGUGAACCUGCGGAAGGAUCAUUAACGAGUAGAGGGCUCCGCCCUCCGGGGGCCUCGGCCCCCAACUCCCAACCCCGUGCGUACCUACCCUUUGUUGCUUUGGCGGGCCUCGGUUCGCGCCGACGCCGGCCCGGGGGCGACCCCGGGCUCGCGAGUGUCCGCCGGAGGCCAUAUCAACUCUGUUUCAUCAGUGUAGUCGGAGCAAAAAUUCAAUAACUAAAACUUUCAACAACGGAUCUCUUGGUUCUGGCAUCGAUGAAGAACGCAGCGAAAUGCGAUAAGUAAUGUGAAUUGCAGAAUUCAGUGAAUCAUCGAAUCUUUGAACGCACAUUGCGCCCCUUGGUAUUCCGAGGGGCAUGCCUGUUCGAGCGUCAUUGCAACCCUCAAGCGUCUGCUUGGUGUUGGGCCCCGCCCCCCGGGCGUGCCCGAAAGUCAGUGGCGGUCCGGUUGGGACUUCGAGCGCAGUAAUUUUCAUCCCGCUUUGGAAGCUUCCGCCGCGACCGGCCAGCCAACCCCCAACUACUUCAAUGAUUGACCUCGGAUCAGGUAGGGAUACCCGCUGAACUUAAGCAUAUCAAUAAGCGGAGGAAAAGAAACCAACAGGGAUUGCCUCAGUAACGGCGAGUGAAGCGGCAACAGCUCAAAUUUGAAAUCUGACCCCUUCGGGGCCCGAGUUGUAAUUUGUAGAGGACGCUUCGGGUGCGGCGCCGGUCUAAGUUCCUUGGAACAGGGCGUCAUAGAGGGUGAGAAUCCCGUAUGCGACCGGCGACCAACCCC